GGGGGCUGGAGUGGACAGGAGGAGGAGAGCAGUAUUAGGCCAUUAGCCUAAGGAGCUCCAGGAGAACUCUCUCUCUCCCUCCCUCCCCCUCUCUCUCCCAGCCCGCCUGAGUUAGUGUGUGUGUGUGUAUGUGUUUAUGUUUUGUUUAGAAAAUUAAUAAUCUUAAUUCCAGUGGGAUUUCACCACUCAGGUGCUAAAAAGAAAAAAAAAAGUGCACACCGUGAUAACUCUGGCCUUUGUGUGUGCUACUUGUGUGUACUUGUUUAUACUUGUUUGUUUAAUUCAUAUUUAUUCAAGUAAAUUAAUUCAUUUGCCCUUGUACAAUAACAAUAACAACUGCAGACGCUGUUUGCUUAGAAACUCGUUCUGGCCUGCAGUUGUUCUUGUCUCUCUCUCUCUCUAACUGUUGGCUCCCCUCCCCCAUGUCCUCUAAAUUCUUUUUCUCUAUUCUCUCUUUUUUGCAUCAUUUCUGUGUUCUGUUUUUUCCAUUCAAUGCAAGACGGAAACGGCCCCUUAAGAUUUUCAUUCAUUCGGCUUCUUCCGCUUGCAUCUUCAUCUCUGUUCUCUCUGCAUCUCGUUUAACUGGUUUCCUGCAUCAUCAGGGGGCAGCUGCAGUUCAGUCUCCCCCCCUGCCUCGCUGCUACUGUCUCGUUCUCACUCAUACACCUGCAGCUCGGCAGCUGUCCACGCGCUCAAAUUUCUUAUCAACGGCACAUGUACAUAUUUAUGGUUCGAUGCAUUGGAUCCCUUCAAGGGCAGGUCGUCCAGGCAAAGGGCGGACUCCCAGCCCCACACCCCCCAGUUCUUUUCAAACAAUAAUUUCUACAACAACAAGAAAGAGAAUCAACUGCAGCAGCUGGGAGCUUGAAGAAAAAUAUUAUCAGAAAAAUGCAUUGUAAUGGAAGGUAAACAGCUAUUUACAUAAAACAAGGCACCAGUCGCCGAGUCUGAAAAGAGAGUCAUCAUCAUCGUUGUUUCUGGACGAAGCCGGUUUUUGGGAAAGUCGCCAAAGUCAGGGAGUGGUUCCAGACCCCAGACCCCAAUCCCUAAUCCCCAACAGAGCUCCAAUCCCGCUCCAAUGGUCGCGUGCGAGUGUAUGCAAAACUAUAAUCAGAGAGAACCUGAACAUAGGCCUAAAAGGACUUGGACUUGGACUUGUGGCAGUCUGAUAGAGAGAACUUAUGGACAGAAAGAGUCUACCAAGCCGGGAACGAGUUCAAGUGUCAAUCUUCUAAAAUCUUGAAAAUGCAUGGGAAGCCCAAUAUGGCAUAUUUGUUUAUUUUAUUUUAAAAUAAUGUUU
rnacentral:sRNA from 1 species